GGGCGCAAGCCUGAUGCAGCGACGCCGCGUGAGGGAUGACGGCCUUCGGGUUGUAAACCUCUUUCAGUAGGGAAGAAGCGAAAGUGACGGUACCUGCAGAAGAAGCGCCGGCUAACUACGUGCCAGCAGCCGCGGUAAUACGUAGGGCGCAAGCGUUAUCCGGAAUUAUUGGGCGUAAAGAGCUCGUAGGCGGUUUGUCGCGUCUGCCGUGAAAGUCCGGGGCUCAACUCCGGAUCUGCGGUGGGUACGGGCAGACUAGAGUGAUGUAGGGGAGACUGGAAUUCCUGGUGUAGCGGUGAAAUGCGCAGAUAUCAGGAGGAACACCGAUGGCGAAGGCAGGUCUCUGGGCAUUAACUGACGCUGAGGAGCGAAAGCAUGGGGAGCGAACAGGAUUAGAUACCCUGGUAGUCCAUGCCGUAAACGUUGGGCACUAGGUGUGGGGGACAUUCCACGUUUUCCGCGCCGUAGCUAACGCAUUAAGUGCCCCGCCUGGG
rnacentral:rRNA from 1 species